rnacentral:rRNA from 1 species
GAUGAACGCUGGCGGCGUGCCUAAUACAUGCAAGUCGAGCGAACAGACGAGGAGCUUGCUCCUCUGAUGUUAGCGGCGGACGGGUAAGUAACACGUGGAUAACCUACCUAUAAGACUGGGAUAACUUCGGGAAACCGGAGCUAAUACCGGAUAACAUGUUGAACCGCAUGGUUCAACAGUGAAAGACGGUCUUGCUGUCACUUAUAGAUGGAUCCGCGCCGCAUUAGCUAGUUGGUAAGGUAACGGCUUACCAAGGCAACGAUGCGUAGCCGACCUGAGAGGGUGAGCGGCCACACUGGAACUGAGACACGGUCCAGACUCCUACGGGAGGCAGCAGUAGGGAAUCUUCCGCAAUGGGCGAAAGCCUGACGGAGCAACGCCGCGUGAGUGAAGAAGGUCUUCGGAUCGUAAAACUCUGUUAUUAGGGAAGAACAAAUGUGUAAGUAACUAUGCACGUCUUGACGGUACCUAAUCAGAAAGCCACGGCUAACUACGUG